AGCGAACGCUGGCGGCAGGCCUAACACAUGCAAGUCGAACGGAUCCUUCGGGAUUAGUGGCGGACGGGUGAGUAACACGUGGGAACGUGCCCUUUGGUUCGGAACAACUCAGGGAAACUUGAGCUAAUACCGGAUGUGCCCUUCGGGGGAAAGAUUUAUCGCCAUUGGAGCGGCCCGCGUCUGAUUAGCUAGUUGGUGAGGUAACGGCCCACCAAGGCGGCGAUCAGUAGCUGGUCUGAGAGGAUGAUCAGCCACACUGGGACUGAGACACGGCCCAGACUCCUACGGGAGGCAGCAGUGGGGAAUCUUGCGCAAUGGGCGAAAGCCUGACGCAGCCAUGCCGCGUGAAUGAUGAAGGUCUUAGGAUUGUAAAAUUCUUUCAGCGGGGACGAUAAUGACGGUACCCGCAGAAGAAGCUCCGGCUAACUUCGUG
rnacentral:rRNA from 1 species